AGUACAAGGAGAGAGCGAAAACCUGCAGACAUUCGGCCCUCCGUGGAACCGGUUUGAGAGCUCUGCUCUACAAGGACAUAUAUCCCAAGAUAUAUUCAUGAAAACUGGAGGUAGGGCGUGUCAGAUGACUAACUUCUAGUAAGAAAUGACUGGUGCAUUUACCAAAUGACUAUGAAAAAUCCUUAUGCCUGUUUUUGAUUGUUAGGUGGAGUAUUGCAUUUUUCCUGUCCCCUCUCUGUGGUUUACUACUCUUCAACACUUUGGUGGCAAGAGAUCAGCCCUACUGAGUUUUAAACACAGACCUAAUGUCCACAUAUCAGACAUUGCUGGACGGGUGGCUCGUCACACAAACAACAGAACUGAGUAGACCUUCUUCUCUCCCAAUGAUGGAAGGCUGUGUGAACCCACACAAAAGAAUAUAGAAAAGGCCAAGCUCAACGAGCUCAGAGUUAAACUACCAUGGCUGAAGAAAGGAUGAGAAGGCAAGUAAGACAUCACUCACUUUGGCAUGGCACAUCCCAUCACUGGUUCUUCCCCCCACUAUUCACUAUACGAUAGAUUCCACCAUAAGAACCAGAAAAGAGAUGAGGAAACUGCAUAGUUUAAACUUAGUUCCUAAGUUAGCAGCAAUAGUAAAUUCAUCGGUGGCUGAGCAAAUAAAUAGAGAGCUGUCAUCAAGCAGGUACUUCCUGUGCUCCAUGAAGGACAGCCAUUUCAUGUUUUCACUAAGGCUCAUCUUCCACCUGCACAACCGGAAUGUUAACAAGUAUGAAGAGAGUAUAAAAAGGAUGACAGAGGAUGUACUACAGAUUGGUCCAGAUGGACGACUCUGGCUAUCUGGAUCAGGUACUGAACUGUUUGUCAGACUCUGUUCUGAAUAGUAACAUUAUCAAGAAAGUGGAGGCGGCUACACCAACAGUUGGCGGGGAUAAUACAUCGGGUGAUCAAGGAGUUUGUUUCCGGUGGUUGAUGGACUUGAGGCAAAACUUGCUGAACAGGACAACCAAACAGUCCUACUGAUGGUAGGCAACAACCAUGCAACUGUGAGUGACCUGAAAAGGAUCUGUCCACUGGCACUUUUGGUUUCUGACACAUCUACAACGUCCACCUCACCAUGGGUACAUGACAAUGGGUUCAACACCAGAAUUGCACAACUCGCUGAAAAUGUCCAGAACGUGGCGGGAUUGGAGAGCCCACCACACAGUUGGGGACACGAACCUGUCCUGCAUAAAGGUCGGUCUGCACCGUGCUGCACGUCCACAUCGCUAAGAGGGAUGUAGCGGCCUCCCAUCGCCGUCGGUCUCAACAUCUGUUGUCGCUCGUCCGUCCUGCUGAACAUCCACUCGAGGGCUCCCCCUAGCGAGGACGUCCAUGUGACCGUGCUGGACGUCCAGGUCGCUAAGAGGGAUGUAGCUGCCUCUCUGCCUGGAUUCAUGUCUCGCCACACGUCACACAGCUGUCUUGUAACCAUAAAAUUCAA